rnacentral:rRNA from 1 species
UACGGGGGGGGCAAGCGUUGUUCGGAAUUACUGGGCUUAAAGGGCUCGUCGGUGGCCAUCUAAGUCAGACGUGAAAUCCCUCGGCUUAACCGGGGAACUGCGUCUGAUACUGGAUGGCUUGAGUUCGAGAGAGGUGAGUGGAAUUCCGGGUGUAGAGGUGAAAUUCGUAGAUAUUCGGAGGAACACCAGUGGCGAAGGCGGCUCACUGGCUCGAUACUGACGCUGAGGUGCGAAAGCGUGGGGAGCAAACAGG